UAGCCAAUACAGCCCAUACAUCACAUAAUAUUAUCUCCAAAUCACCAGUCUUACAAUUCAAGAAUCUGCUGCUCGAACACAGCAAGACAUCACAAUAAUUUCACUAUAACAGUCUUAGAAUUUAAGAAACUGCUGUCUCAAAUUUGCAUAACAACAGCGACACAAUAGCUGCGAACAAUAGAAUAACAGCGACAACAACAACUCAUAACAGCGGCAACACAGCAGCAAACAACACAAAAUAGUCUUGCUGCAGUCAACAAAAUUAUCCUUGGCAUCGCAGGCACCAAUGCCACCAAAAUAUGAGAGCCAAAGAGCUUACUACUGAAGAUCUGGCGUCUUUGGAGCUUGUCCUUCUAUUUGUUGAUCAAGACAUGCCUCCAUGUUAGCCGUACAUGUGCAAAAAAGAAAUGCCAUAAACUUGAGAAAUAAAACAUGGACAGAAGUGAACAAUACAAAAUGGAAAUAACACCGUACAUGUGAAAAUAUCUGGGAAAAAAUCAUCAGAUUCCUAAUAGCCAGCGAUGCAUAAGCAUUAGCAAAAGAUGUUGGAAACAGUCAUAGCAUAAAGAAAAUGCUUCUCACAGCUUAAAGCAAACACUUACCUUGGUCAGUUUGUAGUGUGUGGCAAUAGAUGUCCAUUCCAGUUUCCUGGGCAAACAAAGUGAAAGGGAAGGUGAAGGCUAGAAGAGAACAAACCAAAUUCCAUUACAAAGGUAAGUUCAAAUUUAUUUAUAACAUUUCCUAUUCUUAUAGUGAAAGAGCAAUGAUUCCAUUUUCACAAAACAUACAGGGACCUAAAUCACUGAAAUGUAGCUAUUUCUGACAUAAUCUAUUGGAAAAAUCUCACGCAACUGGCUGGUGGUUUGUGCUGACGAAUAAUGCAACAUUCUU
rnacentral:lncRNA from 1 species